UCCGAUGGAAAUAGCAGGACUUCCCGCGACGGGGUCGUCCGGUGGAGAGUCCCGAUUGGCCAGACGCAUUUGUCUCUAGCCCGAAGGACGCCGCAGCCGAUCGGGCAGUGCAAGCGCGACGGCCUGAAGGUCGGAUGAUGGCAGGUGGCCGGUGGUUCGCUUCGGCGGAUCGCCGGUUGUUAGCCGUUCCGUCAGUGGCUCGUCGCCCGAUCGAGGUAUCACGAGGCCCUUAUGGGGUUCUCGCGCCUCCUCCCACGGAUGCUGGACGUGCCGUCGCAGGCGAAAGCCGCCGUCCUGUCGCACACCCUCAGUGUGGACUGGCGAACGGCAGGCGCCGCUGGUGGCGGAGGACCAGUCGGAGGUCGGAGGCUCGCGGCGAGUAGGUCGGUCACCCACCCGACCCGUCUUGAAACACGGACCAAGGAGUCUAACAUGUGCGCGAGUCAAUGGGUCUUGAAUAGGCCCAGAGGCGCAAUGAAAGCAAAGGAAGGAUCACUCCUUCCGAGUUGGGAUCCCGAACUCUAUGGUUCGGGCGCACCAACGACCCGUCCUAUGCGGCUCGCCGCUUGGGUGGAGUGUGAGCGUACACGUUGGGACCCGAAAGAUGGUGAACUAUGCCCGGACAGGACGAGGCCAGAGGAAACUCUGGUGGAGGUCCGCA
rnacentral:rRNA from 1 species